GGCCAAGCGGAGGAAGGCGCGCGGUGGAUGCCUAGGCGAUGGAGGCCGAGGAAGGACGCGGCAAGCCGGCGAAACGCCCCGGGGAGCGGGCUAGCGCGCGGGGAUCCGGGGGUAUCCGAAUGGGGCAACCCCGCCCGGGUGAUGCCGGGCGACGGCAGGGGGGCGACCCUGCCGAGGGCACCGGGGGAACUGAACCAUCUUAGUACCCCGAGGAACGGAGAACGACUCCCCAAGUAGCGGCGAGCGAACGGGGACCAGCCCAAACCGUCACCGCUAGGUGGCCGGCAGGCCGAUGCGGUGGCGGGGUUAGAGGACCGUCCGGGCCGGGCUGCCGACCGGCCACCAAGUGAGCAACCGUCCGGCCAGCCGAACCGACCUGGAACGGCGGGCCAGAGGGGGUGAGAGCCCCGUAGGCGACGGUCGGACGGCUUGGGGGCGGCACCUGAGUACUGCCGGGCACGGGAAACCCGGUGGGAAGGACGGGCGACCACGCUCGAAGGCUAAGUACCUCCAUCGACCGAUAGUGGACCAGUACCGUGAGGGAACGGUGAAAAGCACCCCGGGAGGGGAGUGAAACAGGACCUGAAACCGCGUGCCGACAAGCAGUCGGAGGGCGGGGGGAGCCCCGUCUGACGGCGUGCUUAUUGAAGAAUGAGCCGGCGAGUGACACCUCGGUAGCCGCAGGCUAAGGCUGGGGGCAGCCGGAGCCGGAGCGAAAGCGAGUCUGAACAGGGCGUGGUCUUGGUCUGGGGACAGGCCGAGGCCGGUUGCCGGGGGUCGACCCGAAACCGCGUGAGCUACCCAUGGCCAGGCUGAAGGUCCGCUAACCCGGACUGGAGGGCCGAACCUGCGGGAGUUGCAAAUCCUUGGGAUGAGCUGUGGGUAGGGGUGAAAUGCCAAGCGAACGCGGAGAUAGCUGGUUCUCCCCGAAAUGCCUUGAGGGGCAGCGUUCGGGCGGGAGCUGGGCCGCGGAGGUAGAGCGCUGGUUGGGCUAGGGGGCUGACCGCUUACCGAACCCAGCCAAACUGCGAAUGCCGCGGCCGGGCCCGAGCAGUGAGACGGCGGGGGCUAAGCUUCGUCGUCGAGAGGGAAACAGCCCAGACCGCCAGCUAAGGUCCCGAAGUGACGGCUCAGUGGGAAAGGAUGUCCGUGCGCGCAGACAGCCAGGAGGUUGGCUUAGAAGCAGCCUGCCUUCAAAGAGUGCGUAAUAGCUCACUGGUCGAGUGCGCGGGCGCCGACAAUGGAGCGGGGCUAAGCCGUCCACCGAAGCUGCGGACCCUGGUCCUGUGGGGGCCGGGGUGGUAGGGGAGCGUUCCCGCCAGCGGCGAAGCCAUCUCGGAAGGGGUGGUGGAGCGGCGGGAAGAGCGAAUGCCGGCAUGAGUAGCGUAACGGCCGAUGAGAAAUCGGCCCACCGAAAACCCGAGGGUUCCUCCGGUAGGGUCAUCCGCGGAGGGUUAGGCGGGCCUAAGCCGCAGCCGCAAGGCGAAGGCGAUGGACAGCCGGUUAGUAUUCCGGCCCCGCUCCUGGUGCGUGGAAGCGGAUGGGGACCCCGAGCGGCAGGCUGGGCGUGCCGACUGGACAGGGCACGUGCCUGGGGUGUGGCCCCCUGGUGAGGGGGGAGAAGGCCCUGGGCGGAGCGGCGACGGUAGUCAAGGCGACCUGGCUGGGCCUGGGCGGGCGAGAAAAGCCAUCCGGGGAGUGCUGGGAGCGCCCGUACCGCAAACCGACACUGGUGGGUGGGCACAAGGGUGCCAAGGUGGGCGAGAGAACCUUCGUCAAGGAACUCGGCAAUCUCACCCCGUAACUUCGGGAGAAGGGGUGCCCCUGCCCGUGAACCUGCGUGCUGGGGGAGCGGGUGGGGGCCGCAGUGAGCAGGCCCAGGCGACUGUUUACCAAAAACACAGGUCUCCGCCAACCCGGAAGGGGACGUAUGGGGGCUGACGCCUGCCCAGUGCCGGAAGGUUAAGGGGAGGGGUUGAGGCCCUGAACCGAAGCCCCGGUGAACGGCGGCCGUAACUAUAACGGUCCUAAGGUAGCGAAAUUCCUUGUCGGGUAAGUUCCGACCCGCACGAAUGGCGUAACGAUCUGGGCGCUGUCUCGACGAAGGACUCGGCGAAAUUGCAGGGGCCGUGAAGAUGCGGCCUACCCGCGACAGGACAAAAAGACCCCGUGGAGCUUUACUGCAGCUUGCCGUUGGCCAUGGGCCAUCGCUGCGGAGGAUAGGUGGGAGCCGGGGAAGCCGCCCUUGCGGGGGUGGUGGAGGCGACGGUGAAAUACCACUCUGCGGUGGUCUGUGGUCUCACCCCCGGUGGCGCGGGGGGACCGCGGCUGGUGGGCAGUUUGACUGGGGCGGUCGCCUCCCAAAGGGUAACGGAGGCGCCCAAUGGUUCCCUCAGGGCGGAUGGAAAUCGCCCGCGUGCGUGCAUGGGCAGAAGGGAGCUUGACUGCGAGGCGGACGUGCCGAGCAGGGGCGAAAGCCGGGCCAAGUGAUCCUACGGUCCCGUGUGGAAGGGCCGUGGCUUACCGGAUAAAAGCUACCCCGGGGAUAACAGGCUGAUCUCCCCCAAGAGUCCACAUCGACGGGGAGGUUUGGCACCUCGAUGUCGGCUCGUCGCAUCCUGGGGCUGGAGUCGGUCCCAAGGGUUGGGCUGUUCGCCCAUUAAAGCGGUACGCGAGCUGGGUUCAGAACGUCGUGAGACAGUUCGGUCUCUAUCCGUCGUGGGCGCAGGACGCUUGCGGGGGGCUCCCCCUAGUACGAGAGGACCGGGGGGGACGGUCCGCUGGUGUGCCGGUUGUCGUGCCAACGGCAGUGCCGGGUAGCCAGGACCGGAACGGAGAAGCGCUGACCGCAUCUAAGCGCGAAACCGGCCCCAAGAUGAGGCGUCCCACCUCGAGAUGAGGGUAAGGCCCCAGCGAGACCAGCUGGUGGAUAGGCGGCAGGUGGACACGCGGCAACGCGUGCAGCUAAGCCGUCCUAAUGGCCGAGGGCUUGGCCC
rnacentral:rRNA from 1 species